UUUUUUAUUAUUAAGGUUUACGUUUGAUAUAUUAACAUGCACAGAUCCUAAUUACACAGUUCAUUGAGUUUUUAUAACAUUAAUUCAUGUAACCAUCAACCUAAAGAAGAUAAAGAAUAAUUCCAUUACCUUGAAAGUUCCCUUACGCCCCUUUAAAAUCAAAACUUCCCACCCAAGAGCAACCAUUGUUCUGAUUUUUUUCUACUAUAGUUUUGUUUGCCUUCAAAUUUCAUAUAAAUAGAAUUACUAAGUUUAUGCUCCACUGUAUCUGGCUUUUUAUGCUCAACAUAUUUUGGAGAUUAAUCCAUGUUGUUGUGUGUGUCAGUAGUUAAUUUCUUUUUAUUGUUGAAUAGUAUUCCAAUAUACGACUACUUCACAAUUUGGUUAUCCAUUGUCCUGUUAGUGGACAUUUGGGUUAUUUCUAGUUUGGGGCUAUUUUGAAUAAGGCUGUUUUAAACAUUAUUGUAAAAAUCUUUUUUGUAUAUAUAUGUUUUCAUUAAUCUGGGACAACUGCUGAGUCACAGGUAGUUGAUUAUUUAAUAUUUUUAGAAACUACCAAUUCUUUAUUCCAAAGGUUUGAGAGUUUCUUUUACUCCACAUCCUUUCUAACAGUUUUUCUGUCUUUUUCUUUUGUUUUUCAUUUUUAAACACUUAUAAAUUCACAGUAAGUUGAAAAAAGAAUACGUAGAGUGCUGUCAACUUUUUUCACUUAGCCUCCCCAAGUGGUGAUACGUUACUUUAGUAUAAUUUGGAAGUGGACAUUGCUACAAUUCUGCUAAGUAGACUACAAACCUUAUUCAAUUUUCACCAGUUUCUACAUGUGCUCAUUUGAAUGUGUCCCUGUGUAUGCACCUGUGUGUGUGUGGCAGGGUUCGGGGUGGUCGUAAGUGGUUCUAUGCAAUUAUAUCCCACUUCUAACCACCACCACAAAGGAAUACUCCAGUGCUAUCCGUUUUUAGUUGCACCAACACCCCAAGAUAUCUUAUAUCUUGUCUGUGUGCUCUGGCAAUCACUAAUGUAUUGUCAAUCUCUACAACUAUUAUUUUGAAUGUAUUAUAUAAAUGGAAUUAUUCAUUAGGUGACCCUUUGAGACUGGCUUUUUUUUUUUUUUUUUUUACUAAGCAUAAUACUCUUGAGAUUCAUCCAAUUUGAUGGAUGUAUCAAUAGUUUGUUUCAUUUCAUUGUCAAGUAAUAGUCUAUGAAAUUAAUAUACCAGAAUUUAUUUAAUCAUUCAACUAUAGAAGGACCUCUGGAUUGUUUCCAGUUUUAAUCUAUUGUAAAUAAAGGUGCUGUGAAAAUAAAUGUACAGGUUUCUGUGUGAUGCUCAAGAAUGCAAUUGCUAGUUUGUAUGGUGAUGGCAUGUUUAGUUUUAUAAGAAACUGCCAAACUAUCUUCAGGAGUGGUUGUAUCAAUUCUACAUUCCUACCAGCAGUGUAUGAGUGAUCUGUUUCUCUCCAUCCUUACCAGCAUUUGGUAUUAACCACUAAUUUGUUUUAGUUCAGCUGUUUUUAUAGGUGAUAUUGAACAUCUUUUCACAUGCUUAUUUGCAUUCCAUAUAUCUCUUUAGUCAAAUGUCUCUUCAUAUCUUUUGCAUAUUUUCUAAUUCAAUCUUUUGGGAUAUUUUUUAAUUUUGAGCAUCAUUUAUUCAUUCUAGAUACAGGUUCUUUGUUGUGUGUGAUAUUUCUCACAAAUCUGGAGCCUGUCUUUUUAUUCUCUUAACAGCCUUUCUCAAAGCAAAACUUUUAAAUUUUGAUAGAGUGAAAUUUAUCAUUUUUCCUUUUGAAGGAUCAUGCUUUUGGUGUCAUGGGUAAGGACUCAUCACUUGGCCUCCAGUUCCAAAGAUUUUCUUCUAAGAAUUCUUCUAAAUGUUUGAUAGAUUUACAUUUUACAUUUAAACUCAUAACCUAUUUUCAAAUAAUUUGUGUAUAAUGUGAGAGCUUUAGGCUGAAGUUCAUAUUUUGUCUAUUACUCCACAAGUAUUUGUUGAAAAGACGGCCUUUCCUCUUCUGAAUUGUUUUUAUACCUUCGUCAAAAAUCAGCUGGGGUAUUUGUGUGGGUCUGUUUCUGGUCUCUCAAUUCUGUUGCAUUGAUCUAUGUAUCUGUCUCUCUGUCAAUAAUACACUCUCUUGAUGCUAUUAGCAUCAGAUCGAAUGAUUCAUCCAGUUUUAUUCUUUUUUUAGAAAAUUGUUUUAGCUGUGCUAGCUAUUUUGCCUUUUUAUAUAAAUUUUAGUUUAAGCUUGUCAGUAUCUACCCAAACUCUUGAUAGAAUUUUAAUAGGCAUUGCAUUAAGUCUAUAUAUCACUUUGGGGAUAAUUAUCAUCUUUGUUACGUUAAGUCUUUCAUUCCAUGGACAUGUUAUGUAUCUCCAUUUAUUUAGAUCUUCUAGUUCUUUCAUCAGCAUUUUAUUAUUUACAGCAUAUCAUUCCUAUAUUACUUUUAGAUUUAUACCAAAGUAUGUCUCUUUUCUAUCAAUUGUAAAUGAUAUUGUACUUUUAAUUUUGAUUGUCACAUGUUCAUUGCUAGAAAAUAGAAAUCAGAUAAAUUUCUGUGUAUUGAUCUUGUAUCCUGAGACCUUGCUGAACUCUCUUAUUAGUUCUAGGAGGUUUUUGGUUUUAUAAUUUCCAUGGGAAUUUUUUACAUAGACAGUUGUGUCAUCUGUAAAUAAAGAAAAUAUAUUUUAUAAUUUCUAAUCAGUAUGUCUUUUUUUACCUUAUUGCCAUGGCAAGGAAUUUCAGUACUACGUUGAAUAAGUGUAGUGAGAGUGAGCAUCCUUGCCUUGUUUACAUUUUUUAACUUUUGAAAUUCUAGCAUGUGAGGGUUGUGGUAUCUCAUUGUACUUUUAGUUUGCAUUGCCCAGAUGAAUAAUGGUACUAAGAACCUUUUAAUGUGUUUAAUCUCCAUUCUUAUAUCUUAUUUUGGAAAUUUUUUUCCUACAUUCUAAUCUAAAAUCAUUAAAAUAUUAGAUUGGUAUAUUUAGGUGCAUAAUAAAUAACAAACAUCUAAAUACUUUUUGGUACAUAGCAGAAGAUAGAGUUCCUUUGUUUUUCAUGUGAAUAUCUUCUUGCAGCACAAUUUGUUGUGAAACAUUUUCUUUACCCAUUGAAUUGAAUUUGAAAUCAGUUAAUAUAUGUAUGUAUUUAUUUCUGACAUUCUAUUAUUUUCCUUUAGUCCUCAUGUCUACAUUUAUGCCAAUCCCACAAUGUCCUAAUUAUUGUAGUGAUACGGGAGGGGACAGGGAAGUGCUGGGUAGAGAAGGGCAGGGUCCCUGGUGAGGGCUCCAAUCUCGGACCUGUCCCACAGACCUAAAUGUAGACAGACAUUUCUGUUUUUACACCCAAAAAGUUGCUUUUUGGCCCACUAUGCCUCCAUCCUGUGCCCAUAAAAACCCAAGACCCCAGCAGGCACACACACAAGUGGCUGGAUGUCAAGAGGAACGGAAGAACACACUGACAGAUACCAGCAGAUACUGGCAGACCAGCAACAGUGGAAUGACACAGACACCAAGGGGAAUUCAGCCGGGGGCAGUCGGAGGACAGUCCAGGCACUGGGAGGCCCAACUCCAGGAGAAGACCACCUUCCCACUCCAUUCCCCUUCCGGUUCCCCAUCCAUCUCACCGAGAACUGCCUUUACUUGAUAUUUUCCCCUUAUCCCAGUAUAGGAAACAGAAGAUGAGGUGCAUACUAGGAAGGGAUGAGUAAUAAUUUGGUUUUAGACAUUGUGAUGUGAAGUGCCUGUAAAGCUACUAAAUGAAAAUGUCUUGGGAAGUGAAUCUGGAGCUCAGAAAAGAAAUCAUGGUGUAGCCUGUGUGUUAAUAAGGUCCAUUGGUUACUCCCUGGAGCUGGAUCAAUUAGAUAGGUUUCUUUUUAAUUUUUUUUUUAAUUUUUGGAAGUGCAUAGUAGGUGUGUAUAUUUAUGGGGCACCUGAGAUACUUUAAUAUAGUCAUACACUGUAUAAUAAUCACAUCAGGGUAAAUAGGGUAUCCAUCGCCUCAAGAAUUUAUCAUUUCUCUGGGUUACAAACAUUUUAAUUAUACUCUUUUAGUUAUUUUUACAUGUGGAAUAAAUUAUUGUUGACUGUAAUCACUAUGUUGUGCUAUCAAAUACUAGAUCUUAUUCAUUCUGCUUUUGUACCCAUUAACCUAGAUAGGUUUCUUAAAUUGACCUACAAUGGAUUUUAUUUCAAGCUUUUGUCAGCUAUAUUCUAGUGGUGCUCUCAAAUCUUUGAAGAGUUUAUCUAAACAGUUUUCACAUUUUUCCCUGAAAAUGUGACAUUUUAGUUUCAAUAAUAAUUUAAUUCAGCCUAAAUCAGCUGAGAGCCCAAGGUAUCACAUAGUUAGCAACCAUGCUAAGGUAUUUUAGACAACCAUAUGGUGUCUAUUCUUGGUUUUAGUUUUCAUUCUAAGUGUGAUAUUUGCCAAAGCCAUUCACUUUCUUGGCUACCAGCUUAUUUGUUUCUAAUGAGGGGAUGGUAAUAGUGGUGACAUCUUGCCCUUCCUUAGCAGAAAGGUUUGGUAAACAGUGGUGACUUUCUCAGUUCAACAUUCUAUUUGUUAGUCAUUAAGUACUCAUUUAAAAAUGUUCGGGCUCCUCAGAGUCAAUCCAGUGCACUGACACGAGUUUCUAAUACUCAUAAAAACCUAAAUCUAUCUGAUUGAAACAGUCAAUAUAGCAACUAAGUUGGGACAUGAACUGAUCAUGUUGCUACUUAACAGAAGAGUUUCAGUGGGCCUUUACCACAGAAUAAAAAAUAAUAAUAAAACCUAUAUUUCACUUUGGAUAUAAGGAUGUAGCUAUAUUUCCCUAUCUAGAGAAGAUUUACAAUAAAGAGGACAAAUAAAACCUUAAGUCAGAUAAAUUAGCCAUAGUGAAACUGGAUCCAUCCCAGGUUGCCCAGAUACAGCAUCUCCAAACUUCAAGUAAAUCAUCUUUGAGUACUUUGUAUCACAAUGAUAACUCUAAGCUCUAAUAUUUAUUACAUUUGUUAUUAUCUAUUUUUGUAUGGGAAUGUUUUUUAUUAUACUUUAAGUUCUGGGAUACAUGUGCAGAACAUGCAGGUUUGUUACAUAGGUAUACACGUGCCAUGGUGGUUUGCUGCAACCAUCAACCUGUCAUGUACAUUAGGUAUUUCUCCUAAUGCUAUCCCUCCCCUAGCUCCCCACCCCGAUAGGCCUUGGUGUAUGAUAUUCCCCUCCCUGUGUCCAUGUGUUCUCAUUGUUCAACUCCCACUUAUGAGUGAGAACAUGCAGUGUUUGGUUUUCUGCUCAUGUGUUAGUUGGCUGAGAAUGACGGUUUCCAGCUUCAUCCAUGU
rnacentral:lncRNA from 1 species